rnacentral:rRNA from 1 species
UUCACCUACGGGGGGCAGCAGUGGGGAAUAUUGCACAAUGGGGGAAACCCUGAUGCAGCGACGCCGCGUGAGUGAAGAAGUAUUUCGGUAUGUAAAACUCUCUCAGCAGGGAAGAAAAUGACGGUACCUGACUAAGAAGCCCCGGCUAACUACGUGCCAGCAGCCGCGGUAAUACGUAGGGGGCAAGCGUUAUCCGGAUUUACUGGGUGUAAAGGGGGCGUAGACGGCGCG